UUGACGGGGGCCCGCACAAGCGGUGGAGUAUGUGGCUUAAUUCGAUGCAACGCGAAGAACCUUUACCUAGCCUUGACAUGCAUUAGACAGGCGCUGAAAGGCGCUCUUCCUUCGGGACUGGUGCACAGGUGCUGCAUGGCUGUCGUCAGCUCGUGUCGUGAGAUGUUGCGUUAAGUCGCGCAACGAGCGCAACCCCUGUCCUUAGUUGCCAUCAUUAAGUUGGGCACUCUAGGGAGACAAACCCUCUUUGAGGGUGGGAAGGUGGGGAUGACGUCAAGUCAGGAUGGCCCUUACGGCUAGGGCUGCACACGUACUACAAUGCCUGGUACAGAGGGACGCAAUACCGCGAGGUAAAGCAAAUCCCUAAAACCGGGCCCAGUUCAGAUUGUAGUCUGCAACUCGACUACAUGAAGUUGGAAUCGCUAGUAAUGGCGCAUCAGCUACGGCGCCGUGAAUACGUUCCCGGGCCUUGUACACACCGCCCGUCACGUCAUGAAAGCCGGUUUCGCCCGAAGUGCGUUUGCCAACCAGCAAUGGAAGCGACGCCCUAAGGUGAAGCUGGUGAUUGGGACGAAGUCGUAACAAGGUAGCCGUA
rnacentral:rRNA from 1 species